AAGAUUUCCUAUCAUUUUUAUUUACUUGUGUAACUAUAGACAACACCAUCUGUGAAUGUGCGUGUGUAUGAGGAUAAUGUCAGUGUUUAUAUGAAACAUACCAAUUCCACAUAACGAUAACUGAUGGCUACUUUUUAGUCUAAGGGCCCUAUUUUGGCUGAAUCCCAAAUGGCACACUUCUAUGCACUUUCGGUCUUGUGGACUUACAAUGGCCGCCGCGUGCGCGUGUCCGUUAAGUUCACGAGACCGUAAGGUGUCCCAUUCAUCAUUUUAGGUUUCAGAAGGGUGCUCGCGAGAGCCCCCUUUGCUGCCGCUAUGCAUCCUCAGGUCUUCCUCUGAGUCCGCACUUUCGUGACAUAAUGGCCCUGUCCCAAAUGGAACCCUAAACACUCACUGCCUUCCUACGAGUCCGCACUUUCAUGACGUAUCGUCGCUUUGACUGUCGGGAAUAAGUCUGCCGCGUAGCUCGCAAACUUGCGAGCUCAGCUGAAGUACGCAUCGAGGGCACAUAGCGGCCGCAAAGGGACGAAUGGGACACCCUGUGGUCUCGUGGUGCUAUGCAUUUUCAUUCCUGUGGACACAAUGGCUGCAGCGUACGCCUGUCCAUUAAAGGGUUAGUUGACCCAAAAAUGAAAUUUCUGUCAUUAAGUAGGCUACUCACCCUCAUGUCGUUCCACACCCGUAAGACCUUCGUCAUCUUCGGAACACAAAUUAAGAUAUUUUUGAUGAAAUCCGAGGUCAAAGUGCGCGAGCAGACCAUCUACGGGAAAUACCGGAUUCCACCAAAGCAUUUUUAUCUUUAUGCACACACUAAUAAUCUUUUACAUUGCAAUCCUUUUAUUUUUGAUAUUUGGCAUGUUUGUGUGCUGCUGCAGCUGCACUUCCCUGGGCGCAUCCCAGCAAACAUUUGGACGUUUAAUUACCGCUGACGUCAAUCAAUCCAACACGUCCAGUCAUGGUUGAAAAAUACUUCCAAAAUGAAAGCUGAACCGACGUCUUUGACGUCAGCUGGCCGUGAAUUCCACGUCUUUUCUGCGCAUCCCAGGACGUCUAAAGGUGUCAUCUUCUGGAUGUUUAUAAGCUGUGUGUUGCUGCAUAAUUUAAGUGUAGCUUAUAUAUAAGCCUGCAUUUAAAAUAAUCACACACCUAUUGUGUAACAUAGUGAAAGGCAAUCAAUGUCUUGAGGUUUACAAUCUGAACUUGACAAAAGGUUCUAAAAAGGUCCAAAAUCAGUCCAGUCAGAUCUGAACGUCUAUAAACCGUUUUAAUCACGUGUACAUCACAAACAAUAACACAUUAUUUGUGGACUUAAAGGGUUAGUUCACCCAAAAAUGAAAAUAAUGUCAUUUAUUUCUCACCCUCAUGCCAUUCCACACCCGUAAAACCUUCGUUCAUCUUCAGAACACAAAUUAAGAUAUUUUGUUGAAAUCCGAUGGCUCAGUGAGGCCUGCAUAGCCAGCAAUGACAUUUCAUCUCUCAAGAUCCAUUAAUGUACUAAAAACAUUUUUAAAUCAGUUCAUGUGAGUACAGUGGUUCAAUAUUAAUAUUAUAAAGCAACGAGAAUAUUUUUGGUGCGCCAAAAAAACAAAAUAAGGACUUAUAUAGUGAUGGCCGAUUUCAAAACACUGCUUCAGGAAGCUUCGGAGCGUUAUGAAUCACGUACAUGUAAUCUGACAAACACGUACACAUAUAUAAUAUCGUUUGCAAAGCCAUGCAAAAGCUUGGCAAAAGAUAUGUUUGGAUAACGGAUACUCUGGCAUUUCAAAGAAAUUAAUAAUCUUCCUUCUACCACACGCUCUCUGUUCUCUGCUAAUAAAAGAUUCGCUGCUGUCGAGACGUGUGUCACGCUCGUCUCUCAUUAGCAAUCGCUCCAGCGGCCUCGUUACUGCUCCCACAGCACUCGGCCAUGCUCUGCUUACAGUAACGUUAAUAACCUCAUUCAUGAACAUGAUUUCUGCCUGAGUCCCAUCCCGAUUCUUUUCCACCGGCUGUAGACAUGAAGACAACACCUCCCAUGAUUCCGUGAAAUCAAGGUGUCAUCGAGCUACGCCUUUGUUUUGAAUGAGCGAUCUCUAGCGGCGAAAAUUUACAUAUUGUGGCUUUAACAGAUAAAAUAUUCACAUAUCCCUGUGAUCUCCCAGAUGUAGGUUAGUUUUAAAGUAACCAACAGUAUAAUGUUUGCAAAUGACUAAUAAUUGUUCCCUAAUUUAGUUACUUGGUGUUUGGUAACAAAGGGCCUACUUUGCAUCUGCAACACUGACUCAAUGACAAACAAGUCAUUUAUAAGAAGACAACUGAUGGCACCUGUAUUCAUAGCAACUAGUUUCUAACUAAUUAAUCAUUUGAUUGUUAAUCAUAAAUAUAGGGGGCUGCUGCUCGGUAUAAUAGUUUUCAAGAACAUUAUGUAAACUGGUAAACUAUUUAGCCUAGACUACCAAAACGAACACCAAAACUUAACAUGAACUGUUAAAAAUUAUAGCAAUUUAUGCAAAAAAUUGAUGGAAAGCUGGCAGCCUGCACGUUUCUUGACCACCUUCUUCCAUAUGGAUCAAUUUUCUGUUCUGAUUGCAACAAGUCUCUGAAACUAUUGAGUAGGCACCAAUCAGAGGCCGCAAUUUUAUGAUGUCAUCAUGUAGACUUCUUACAAAGUAUUUCACAGUAUUUUAAAAAUACAAAAAUACAAAACACUGAAGUAUUUUGAUACAAAAUACGAAGCCAUUUUCAUCAACCCUAUCAAAUACAAAUUACAAAAUACUAUUUUGUAUUUGAAAUACGUAUUUGAAAUACAUGUAUCAUAAAUACUGCCCAUCCCUGGACUUGCCAGGGUCCAGAAUGCCAGCUAUUCGCUGAAGUUCAUCUUUCAAACCAAACAGCAUGGAAAACACCUUCCUUUGGAAUACUGAAAGAAAAAUUCAGUAAUAUGUACACACACGACUACUUACAUUUCUAAACUGAAUGUGACACUUUGUGUUUAUGCAAACAAUUAUACAUACGUGCAACCCCAGAGAACUGCAGACAUGUACAAACGUAUCUGAAUGCAUUUUUAGGAAAUGUUCAGUGUUACAUAUUUUUACCGAAAAUUUUUUGGCCAGGGACAUGAUGUUGCCGUCAGACCAAUGUUUGGUAGGGAUAUUACUAACGCGAUCUUUAAAUAACAAAACAAAUAUUGCGCCAUUGACUUUAGACCAGGUUUCAGUUAGUCAAUGGUGCAGUCUAUUUCAGUUGCCUCAAAAUAGUAACACGCCAACAAUGCUCCUGAACAAACUCAUUUUCAGACCAGCACGCCAAUGGGCACACAAAUGGCCGCAAAUGCAUUUGUUAUUUAAACAACGUGGCGCAGGACAUGAAAAUGAUAACUGCGUCGGGCUGAAACCAGCAAAAACUAGCAAUGUGCCGGGUGUAUGAUUGGACCCUAAAUGUCUUAUAGCCUACCUGAAUGUGCUACAUUUUUUGCCUUAGGUUUCUUUGGUGGUCAAAUGCAACCAUAAGUGUCCCAAUGCACAUGUUGUAGCAAAAAAUACAACCUUGGUGAAGCUCCCAGGCACAGGCAGAACUCAUGUUGUGCCGUUUGUUGUCGGUGGCAUUGCUGUACUACUUGCCUUUGUUCUCAUAACAAUCAUCAUUUGUAACAAGUACAGACAUGUAAGGUAUGAAUUAUGACUUUACAUGAUGUCAUUACUGUUAUGUAAUUAGACUAAGUUGACACAUUGACAUUAUAUAUACAGUAGACAUUUUUAUAGUUAGCACGCACUUUCUUAACCAAGUUUCAAACAAAAUUCUUUGUUUUCAGGGAAUCAGUUAGUGCUGUGUAACAGCUAGAUAGCUACCUGCACUGGGAAACUGCUUUAUAUAUUUUUGUGGGAUAGAGAAUCAACAUCCACAUUAGUCAAUGCUGACAGUGCUGUUUAUUCUGUCUCACUACUGCCUGUUGUGUUUGAAUUUUCCGGUCCAUCAAAAAGGAUAGUUCCUUCACCAGAAAGGACAUUUCCAGCACGAGGAAACACUUACAGUCACAGGUGCAGAAAUGAAGGCGGUGAUAGGCCUACAUGUCAAUGCAUAAAUGAAAUUGCCUCGCAGAAAGGAGACAUGCUGUAACACUGACCAUGUUUUCCCCCACAACAGACAAUUUGUAGCUUGUUUUUAUAACAGAAAUUCAUGUUCCCAUUCUGCAUUACAAAUAAUAGUGACCUUAGUUGACUGUUGUAAAAUAUUGUAUAUUAAAAAUUGCAUAACCUUUUUAAUCCUAAUUUUUACCAAACCACUUCUUAACUUCAGGGCAUCGGCUUUCAUAAUUUUAUAAACUUGCUACCUUUUCUGUCUGUAUACCCUUGUUGUUUAUCUUUUCUGCAAAAUAAAUAAUUUUGUGAAUUGUGAA